AACACUGUUAACCUGCGGUACCUGCGGAAGGAUCAUUACAGAGUUGCAAGACUCCCUAAACCAUUGUGAACCUACCUUCUACCGUUGCUUCGGCGGGCGGGCCCAGCGCCCCCCCGGCCCCCCGCGGGCGCCCGCCGGAGGAUACCCAAACUCUUGACAUUAGUGGCCUCUCUGAGUAUUCUUUACUGAAUAAGUCAAAACUUUCAACAAUGGAUCU
rnacentral:misc_RNA from 1 species